rnacentral:rRNA from 1 species
AUUGAACGCUGGCGGCAUGCCUUACACAUGCAAGUCGAACGGCAGCACGGGGGCAACCCUGGUGGCGAGUGGCGAACGGGUGAGUAAUGCAUCGGAACGUGUCCUCUUGUGGGGGAUAACCAGUCGAAAGAUUGGCUAAUACCGCAUGAGAUCGAGAGAUGAAAGCGGGGGACCCGAGGGCAACUUCGGGCCUCGCGCGAGAGGAGCGGCCGAUGCCGGAUAGCUAGUUGGUGGGGUAAAGCCUACCAAGGCGACGAUCCGUAGCUGGUCUGAGAGGACGACCAGCCACACUGGGACUGAGACACGGCCCAGACUCCUACGGGAGGCAGCAGUGGGGAAUUUUGGACAAUGGGCGCAAGCCUGAUCCAGCCAUGCCGCGUGUGUGAAGAAGGCCU